rnacentral:misc_RNA from 1 species
GAUGAAGAACGCAGCGAAAUGCGAUAAGUAAUGUGAAUUGCAGAAUUCAGUGAAUCAUCGAAUCUUUGAACGCACAUUGCGCCCGCCAGCAUUCUGGCGGGCAUGCCUGUUCGAGCGUCAUUUCAACCCUCGAGCCCCCCCGGGGGCCUCGGUGUUGGGGGACGGCACACCAGCCGCCCCCGAAAUGCAGUGGCGACCCCGCCGCAGCCUCCCCUGUGUAGUAGCACACACCUCGCACCGGAGCGCGGAGGCGGUCACGCCGUAAAACGCCCAACUUUCUUAGAGUUGACCUCGGAUCAGGUAGGAAUACCCGCUGAACUUAAGCAUAUCAAUAAGCGGAGGA